rnacentral:rRNA from 1 species
UACGUAGGGUGCAAGCGUUGUCCGGAAUUAUUGGGCGUAAAGAGCUCGUAGGCGGCUUGUCACGUCGGCUGUGAAAACCUGGGGCUCAACCCGGGGCCUGCAGCCGAUACGGGCAAGCUAGAAUUCGGUAGGGGAGACUGGAAUUCCUGGUGUAGCGGUGAAAUGCGCAGAUAUCAGGAGGAACACCGGUGGCGAAGGCGGGUCUCUGGGCCGAUAUUGACGCUGAGGAGCGAAAGCGUGGGGAGCAAACAGG